rnacentral:rRNA from 1 species
UACGUAGGUGGCAAGCGUUGUCCGGAUUUAUUGGGUUUAAAGGGUGCGUAGGCGGUUCUAUAAGUCAGUGGUGAAAUACGGCAGCUCAACUGUCGAGGUGCCAUUGAUACUGUAGAACUUGAGUACAGACGAGGUAGGCGGAAUUGACGGUGUAGCGGUGAAAUGCUUAGAUAUCGUCAAGAACACCGAUAGCGAAGGCAGCUUACUAGACUGUAACUGACGCUGAGGCACGAAAGUGUGGGGAUCAAACAGG